AGAGGCUGAAACUCGCCUCUUUGAAGUCGGAAUCGCUAGUAAUCGCAGAUCAGCAUGUUGCGGUGAAUACGUUUCCUGGUCUUGUACACACCGCCCGUCAAACCAUGAGAGUCGCCAACACCCGAAGUCCGCUUUGCGGCCUAAGGUGGGGGAGAUGAUUGGGGUUAAGUCGUAACAAGGUACC
rnacentral:rRNA from 1 species